AGCAGCCGCGGUAAUACGGAGGAUGCAAGUGUUAUCCGGAAUCACUGGGCGUAAAGCGUCUGUAGGUGGUUUAAUAAGUCAACUGUUAAAUCUUGAGGCUCAACUUCAAAAUCGCAGUCGAAACUAUUAGACUAGAGUAUAGUAGAGGUAAAGGGAAUUUCCAGUGGAGCGGUGAAAUGCGUAGAUAUUGGAAAGAACACCGAUGGCGAAAGCACUUUACUGGGCUAUUACUAACACUCAGAGACGAAAGCUAGGGUAGCAAAUGGGAUUAGAUACCCCAGUAGUCCUAGCCGUAAACAAUGGAUACUAGAUGUUGAACAGAUCGACCUGUGCAGUAUCAAAGCUAACGCGUUAAGUAUCCCGCCUGGGAAGUAUGCUCGCAAGAGUGAAACUCAAAGGAUUGACGGA
rnacentral:rRNA from 1 species